AAAAUUAUUCAUGUGAACUUUUGAUACCUUUUCUGAAAUUCUCCAUUCAUUAAAUAUUUUACAAAUUCAUUGAUUACAAAAAAUAAGAUGUGGUAUGAUUGCCAUGUUGAGACAACUCUCCACAAGAGACCAAAAUGACACAGAAAUUUACGACUAUAGGUCACCGUACGGCCUUCAACAACGAGCAAAGCCCAUACCGCAUACUCAGCUUUAAAAGGCCCCGAAAUGACGAUGUAAAAAAAUUCAAACGAGAAAACUAGCGGCCUUAUUUAUGUACAAAAAAGGAACGAAAAACAAAUAUGUAACACACAAACAAACGACAACCACUGAACUACAGGCUCCUUACUUAAAUGUUCAUAACAUACUAAAUGUAUGUUCAUAUUGAAAUUGAUAGAAA
rnacentral:lncRNA from 1 species